UACGUAGGGGGCAAGCGUUAUCCGGAUUUACUGGGCGUAAAGCGCGUGUAGGCGGUUGCGCAAGUUGGUUGUGAAAUCUCCCGGCUCAACCGGGAAACUGCAGCCAAAACUGCGCGGCUAGAGUGGCAGAAGAGGAAAGUGGGAAUUCCCGGUGUAGGUUAGUGAAAUGCGUAGAUAUCGGGAGGAACACCAGCGGCGAAGGCGACUUCUGGCUGCUAACUGACGCUGAGACGCGAAAGCUAGGGGAGCGAACGGG
rnacentral:rRNA from 1 species